GGAACUGGUUUCAGAUGGUGUCUUAGAGUACAAACCCCUGUCUAGCACCAUUUGAAAUCGGUGGUCUUGGG
ensembl:miRNA